GCUCUUGUAGUGUAGUGGUUAUCACGUCUGCUUCACACGCAGAAGGUCCCUGGUUCGAGCCCAGGCAAGAGCA
rfam:Trichinella spiralis unplaced genomic scaffold Scfld1, whole genome shotgun sequence.